AAAACUGUGAAACCAUACUUAAAACCAUUCUCAGCGACUUUAUUAUUACUAUUAUUAUUAACAUUAUAAUCUAUAUAUAUUUUAAUAGACAUAAAAAUGUUUAUAACCCUUGAACCAUGGAAAGUGGGAGUUAUUAUUGACUAAUUCGAAUAACCUAAAUUUCACAACGCUAUAGUUUUCUAACAAUGGCGAUCAACCAUCAUUCUAUAUGUCGCAUUGAUAUAUAUAUAUUUUUAUACCUUCUUAACAAAUUUUUGAGUAAAAGAUUAUAUAAAAGGAUUUUUAUUUUUAGUCAAACUAGUUACUUUCUUAGUUAAAAAUCAACUAUCCCACAUUCAGUUCAUUUUCCGGGACGCUAUUUCUUUUUAUUUUUAAACAUGAUUAUGAAAUAAUUUUCAGUGCAGAAAAUAAGAAAUAUAUUUUGUUAAAACAAUAACAAUCGGAGUUUUCUUUAGUAAUUAUUCUAUAUUUUCGAUUUUUGUAAAUAUUUACUUUAAUAUUCGACAGAUGCAAAAUGGCGGAAGGGAGGGGGGGCUGUAAGCUUUUUUUUUAAGCCAUGGAGUGACGUGGCAAAUACUAUGCAGUAAACAACACGUGAUCAAGACGUGGGUGUGAGUUGCAGAACAGACAUUAACAAAUUCCUCCGCUAUGAUACUAUUUAUGUAUAUCGUAUUAUAAGUUUUAAAUUUUCAUAUAUUUUUUCUUAUAUAUAAUUAAUAUAUAAUUUUUAUUUGAUGGACAAGGAAAAUAUCCAUUAGAUUUAAUUGUAUUUGAAAAUAUAAAAAAAAUGUGAAUGGAACUAUAUUUUACCUUGGGUGCGUAUUAAUACUGAAAAAUGUGAUUAGACCUAUUAGUAUAAAUACUACUGGUGUACUAUUUUCCAGCAGUUGCAGUACCCGGUCGCCUGAUCAAGUUCUUGUCAAUUUGUCGUAAAACUUUUUUUCCUUAUUUUUUCGAAAUUUAAACAUAAUUAUUUGUGCAACAUUUGUAAAAUAUCAGAAAAUAAAACAUUUGUAUUUUGUGUUAUACAUAUGUCUAUUUAUUCUUUUUAAUAUUUUACUUGACUUUUUCUUCUGCAGUUAACGUUAUUAGGAGUGAAAUAUUUCGACAACCUGGCUUGUCAACAUAGUGAGAAUCAAAGGUUCACUGAUCUAUCCUGGUUCCCAAGUAGACUCAUGCCAUUUCUGCCUAAAUUCCUGCGUAUAUUCCUACAUUUUAUGGGUAAUCAUGGUUAACUGUUUUAAUGUAUUCCGCAUCCACCCUGGCAGCUUGGAAAAAGUACACGGGCAAUCAAAACACCACUUUUUGUAAGGUUUCUCUUUACAUUCUUCUAUACAUUUACAGCUCCAAAUGUAAUAAAAAUUCUUGAUAAGCGAAAAAAAAAAAAAAGACACAUAAAAUAAUUUAAAAGAAACUACAUAUAUAUUGGUUACAGUGUAAAUGCUUAAAAUAAUUUCAUUUUAUUGAAAUAAUCGCGAAAUUUGUUGCGGCGCAAUUCUCUUUGUUCGUGGUUUUCUUUUUUCUAUAGCCAUAUGCCUCAAUAGGAGAAAGCUGGCCUUAUAAAAUUGAAAUAAACCAUUUUGUGACGGAACUCCUGCUACUAGAAGAAAUAACCUGCUUACUGUGUGAUGAGUGACGUGUGUGGGUAAAAUUGUAAGUUGUGUUGAGUAAAGGUCGAGUGUCCUUGAGACGCCAUUUUGAUUUAUUUCUACGUCUUUUGUAUUUAGUUCGUGACCUUAUUUUGUCGACUAAUUUUUUUUUUCAAAUUGACAUUUAAAAAAGUCUUCACAGUUAAUGUAAUUGUAAAACGAUUGUUGAAAGCACUAGUUUUUAAUUAAGUUCUGACUAUUUGAGAAUUAUGACGGAAUUUUUUUUUUCGAAUUAAGUUUAGAGACUUCUGUUUUAUUAGAACAUAAAAUACGUCAUACGUAAUAAUGACGAAAAGAUUCGUAAGCUAAAUUGACGUUAAUUUAGAAUCUUGUUUUACAUGAAUUUGUAUUUAAAUACCAGUGACGAACUUAACUAAUCAAAACUUCAUUUGUCAGUAUGCGAAGCAUUUUCCUAAUGCUAAUGUGAUGACAUUUUAUGAAGAUUAAAUUUGAUCUGAUGAGACGUAGAUUUGCUCCUCAAAGAUGGUCGUCUUUGAGGGCUUGCUUGAUGGUCGCGUUAUGGGGAUUUUAGGUCAACGAUUUCAUGUGCCAGACCUGCAUUCUUGGGGGGAAAAGUCCGAGUUUUUGGAAUACUGUUUGAAUUCGAGAUAAAAUAAUAAGAAUUUUCUCUAACAAUGAGUUGUUUAAACAUGCUUGCUUGUGUUAUAGCAUUUUCUCGUCCACGCAAUUUGUUUGUAUUUUAUGGCUACAGUGUUCACCUUGAGAAUCCUGUUUUUGAGACUACAGCAAGGUCUGUCAUUUCUCGCGCUCCGGUCCACGGGUUGCCGCCAGUUGGCUACUUUGGACCCAAACCCUUUGUCUUGUCCAGGCUCAUGUCUCCCCAUCAUAUUGUGUACAUACAGAUACAACAAAGGAUAUCUAAACAACGGUUCAGGUAAACCCUGGUGUUUUACUUUUGCUACCCUGUGUAUGUGGACACGAUAUGAAUGUUGUCACUUGUAUGUAUUAGAUGGUGAUGGUGACUCGUGUUGAGUGAAUGAUUGAUUUUGACAUCUGUAUUGAAUUGUGUAUAUUUUAUGGUCACUAAUGCGGUAUGGCAACACUGGAUUGUGAAUAUUCUCGAUCGAUAGUACUGUUACUUUAAGGGAAUCGGAACUCGUUUAAGACAGUUUGUAUGGGAAAUAUCAGUGUGAUGCUUCUUAAGUUAGCUUUGUUGCAGAAUAUUCUAGUAAACGUGAUUAUAUAGGAAUUGACAAAUUAAUUUUUUGUAUUUAGUGCAACAAGAAAUUGUAAUUAUCUAAAUAUAGUUUCAAGUGCAAUGUGUUUUCCACUCUUGGGAAGCCACUUGUUUUAGCUGGCUAUUUUUAUUCUAGGGAUGUUUCACCAUGCAAAGUUUAGCCAUUUCCUGGCAAGGGAAACAAAUGUUGAUGACAUAAGGAUAAAUUUUUACUAUUACACUUUGUCAAGCUAUUUAUAGCUCGUGUUACUAUUGAUAUUUUGACUUCUUUCAAUUCCAAAGUCAGAAUUGGAAUAUAGUAAUAUUCGUUACGCGCUUGUCUUGACUAGUUUAUAAAUGAAGAUGAGUUAUUCUGAAUUAUGUGGAAGUUGUUGGCCUUUGUCGAGUGAUAAUUUAAAGCUAAUCAGAAAAGAUUGGUAGCAAAUAUUAAAUAUUUUGCUUGUAUGCGGGGAAUGAAUUCAUUUUGCUUUCAUUUCUCGAAACCCUUUGUAUUUAGAAUGUUUAUAUUUUAACUUUUGAAAUUAUAUAAUUAGCAUUGUUAAUGUAUUUCAAUGAAAGCUUGCUAAGUUUAUUCUGCAAUUGAGUCAUGUAAUAUUCUUAGAACUAAAACAAGGUAUAUUAUCGUGAAUGAGUGAUUGUGCCCGAAAUUGUCUUAGAUGUAAGUUUAUUAGCUUCAGGCUAUUGAUGUUGUAAAUAUUGUUUGUUGAUAAAAGUAUUGGAAUUUGUACCAAUAUUUGUCUUUUUCUCCCCCCAACACGAUUUUACCUGGAUGAAAAUGGGGCUGAGAUGCUGGCAAGACGAAGUCAGCUUCUUUGGCAAAAAAAACUAGAAGAAUUAUAGAAAGGCUAUUCUGUGACAGGGUAGACAAAAAGCCAUCAAAUAUUGGGGAGCUGUUAAAUCUUAUUCAACCAAGCUACACAUAACGAUUGCCUGGGCCAUGGUUUUUUGGUUAAGGUCUGCUGUCCAAUAUUAGAAGCUUACAAGGCAAUUUGCAUACUUGUCCAAGACACUUGGGACAACUGCAGUGGCAGGAAUGUUGUGUUGGAUGAGUGCUUCAUGAAACAUGGCUUUUGAAUAUUCAAAGGAAAGGGUUUCUGUAAAUUUUAACAAGUUUCAUCACAUUUUCUAAAUGAAAUGAGUUGUAAUUUAUUGAGCAUCAUAACCAAAACUGGAACUGGAAAUAGACAAGGCAAACAUGAAUUUACAUUUACAAAAAGACAAUCUCACAUGAACUAUUUUAACUGCAUACAACAAAACAACUUUGUGGAUGACAUACAGCAGUAAUGGUUAUAUAGUAUGGAAUAUACAAAUGUGCUGAAAGAUUAGGGUGAAAUCGAGCUUCAUGGUUACGUGAAUAGGGAAAAAAAAAUAGGUUCUUAUGAAACAUCACAUCUUUAAAUAGUGAACCAAACAAAGUGAAUGUCAAUUUGAUAAACUUGGAAGGCAAAUAUUCUCAUCUUGCGAUGUUCUCCAGAAUGAAGUGUCUCAUUUGAGAUGAGUUGUUAUUGCUGCAAUACAGAUAGAAAGAAUUUUGAAAUGGAUGACAGCAGAAAAAAGUCCUACAGUAUGAUGUAUAUUAUCCUGAAACUCUCCAACAAAUUCUUCAGGUAUGAUAGGUUAAUUCACGGGUUGGAGAGAUUGCUUUUUUUAUUUUAUUACAGAUUUUUCUUUCAUUGUAUUGCAAUAACAAUUUCCAGAAGAAAAUAGGAUGAAUAUGUAAUAAGAUAAAUUUAUCAUGGCUGCAAAAUUAAUUUUGAUCUUGAUAAUAACUAAAAAAAAAACAAGUGUUAAAUUUUGUUUCCAAAUGAUAGACCUUUCGUAUGUAGAACUUCAGGUUCCAUUGCCAUUUAAAAUGUUGGGGGUUUUUUCCCUCCUGUAUUCUAUUUAAAAUAUAAUUACAAGUAAUAUAGAAGAUAAAUUUAAAAUUCUUUGACAAAUUUGUUCCUAGGGAGGGGGUGAAAAGUUCUAUAUUGCUAGGUGGUUUCCACCUAGCAUAUUUUUUUUCAUUUACAGAUACUGUUAUAAUUGAUGAAAUGAAUAUUCUGUAAUUGACGACAAUUUUCAUCAGCCCUUAAAAUAUUUGAAUAGGAUGAGGUAAUAUUUGUGCAAGCAUCUCUGUUAGAAUGCAGAGAAAACAGUGUCACCCACUCAUUCUGAUUUGGGAAGGGAAGAACAAAAUGUCUUCAGGUAUGUGAGAGCACUUGGCAUUAAUUGUUGUAAAGGAGAAAAUAGGAAAGAAAAUUGCAAUGUAGCACUGAAAAGUUGCAGCACCAGAUGUUUUUCCUUCCCUUUCAGGUAUUUGGUAUUUUCUUUUAAAAGGUGAUGACAACACUAAUAGUGAAUAUACAUGCAUCAUUGAUAGUUUGCAGCAGGUUAGGAGCAAAUGUAUCAAAGAAUAUGAUUGCAAGGUAAAAGGAAAUUUUUUAUAUAUAUUUACAAGAUCCAAGUCAUCUCUAACAGUUAUUGACGAUAACAGAAAAUGCAUCAUUUAUGAUAUUAACUACACUGGAAAAAAAAUUUAAUAUAUAGUAGGCAAAUGAACAACUACAGAAAUUUUUUUAAUCUUUUAUGGUUUUGUACAGUGCAAUAUCUGUUUGGAAUCAGAAGCAUGACUUCUGCAAUUUCAAAUAUAUUGUCCAGUUGGAAUUUUGUAUUAAGUGGAGACUUGUGAAAUAGAGGGUUUGGUAUGAGUAUAAGAUCAACUUGGUAUAUGAACAUGUGGAAUAUGGUUCUUUUAUUUUCAGGUACAUAAACACAUCUAUACAUGACACAGCAUCUACAAAUGAUCUAAUAUGGCGUUAACUCCUAUUCAGAUGAAUCUUCAUGAUUCACUACAGUUAGCUGACAUGACAGACCAAAAAGAAACUGUUCCUGUUUUGCAGUAACAUCUUUACAGAAAUUUGCAUAAUUGAGUAUUUUAUUAUCUUGGUUGUAAAACAAUGUCUUAACACAUUAGAAAACUUGAGCAUAUUCUGAGAGAAUCUUUAAUGAAUUGACAGCUUGAAAUGUACAAAAGAAUCAUCUUUAAAAACCUGGUGAUAGAGGGCCAUGAUUAAUAUAUGUGAAAUUAACACUUAAAAUCUGUGAUUUAUGGUUGGUAUCACUACUAUAUGUUUCACUUGUAGCUUCCUAAUCUAACGAUUACUAUGAGCUGUGAUCAACUAACACCUUCAAGCAACAGGUGGAGGUGUAAUCUUUCAUUUUCAGGUAUAUUGAGUGGCAAAUUCAUUUUCACUGUUUAAAACGAGUUUUUUUGUAAGCGUUGUGAUUGCAUAUGAACUGCAUUUUUUUUUUAAACCUUAGAUUAUCUAAGGAAACUGCUGCAUUUUUUUUUAAACCUUAGAUUAUCUAAGGAAACUGCUGCAUUUUUUUUUAACCUUAGAUUAUCUAAGGAAACUACAUUCGUGGAUAAGAACUUCUCUGUUAAUGAAUACCUAUUACAAAAAUUACAGCAUGAUUUACGAAAUAAAGGAAUGGGUGUAACAGUAUCAGCAUUAUGAUGCACCUGCUCUGAGAUAA